rnacentral:rRNA from 2 species
UCUGGUAUUGAUUGGUGCUUGCAUCAUGAUUUACAUUUGAGUGAGUGGCGAACUGGUGAGUAACACGUGGGAAACCUGCCCAGAAGCGGGGGAUAACACCUGGAAACAGAUGCUAAUACCGCAUAACAACUUGGACCGCAUGGUCCGAGUUUGAAAGAUGGCUUCGGCUAUCACUUUUGGAUGGUCCCGCGGCGUAUUAGCUAGAUGGUGAGGUAACGGCUCACCAUGGCAAUGAUACGUAGCCGACCUGAGAGGGUAAUCGGCCACAUUGGGACUGAGACACGGCCCAAACUCCUACGGGAGGCAGCAGUAGGGAAUCUUCCACAAUGGACGAAAGUCUGAUGGAGCAACGCCGCGUGAGUGAAGAAGGGUUUCGGCUCGUAAAACUCUGUUGUUAAAGAAGAACAUAUCUGAGAGUAACUGUUCAGGUAUUGACGGUAUUUAACCAGAAAGCCACGGCUAACUACGUGCCAGCAGCCGCGGUAAUACGUAGGUGGCAAGCGUUGUCCGGAUUUAUUGGGCGUAAAGCGAGCGCAGGCGGUUUUUUAAGUCUGAUGUGAAAGCCUUCGGCUCAACCGAAGAAGUGCAUCGGAAACUGGGAAACUUGAGUGCAGAAGAGGACAGUGGAACUCCAUGUGUAGCGGUGAAAUGCGUAGAUAUAUGGAAGAACACCAGUGGCGAAGGCGGCUGUCUGGUCUGUAACUGACGCUGAGGCUCGAAAGUAUGGGUAGCAAACAGGAUUAGAUACCCUGGUAGUCCAUACCGUAAACGAUGAAUGCUAAGUGUUGGAGGGUUUCCGCCCUUCAGUGCUGCAGCUAACGCAUUAAGCAUUCCGCCUGGGGAGUACGGCCGCAAGGCUGAAACUCAAAGGAAUUGACGGGGGCCCGCACAAGCGGUGGAGCAUGUGGUUUAAUUCGAAGCUACGCGAAGAACCUUACCAGGUCUUGACAUACUAUGCAAAUCUAAGAGAUUAGACGUUCCCUUCGGGGACAUGGAUACAGGUGGUGCAUGGUUGUCGUCAGCUCGUGUCGUGAGAUGUUGGGUUAAGUCCCGCAACGAGCGCAACCCUUAUUAUCAGUUGCCAGCAUUAAGUUGGGCACUCUGGUGAGACUGCCGGUGACAAACCGGAGGAAGGUGGGGAUGACGUCAAAUCAUCAUGCCCCUUAUGACCUGGGCUACACACGUGCUACAAUGGAUGGUACAACGAGUUGCGAACUCGCGAGAGUAAGCUAAUCUCUUAAAGCCAUUCUCAGUUCGGAUUGUAGGCUGCAACUCGCCUACAUGAAGUCGGAAUCGCUAGUAAUCGCGGAUCAGCAUGCCGCGGUGAAUACGUUCCCGGGCCUUGUACACACCGCCCGUCACACCAUGAGAGUUUGUAACACCCAAAGUCGGUGGGGUAACCUUUUAGA